rnacentral:sRNA from 1 species
GCUGGGCACAGUGGCUCAUGCCUGUAAUCCCAGCAGCUGGGGAGGCUGAUACAGGAGGAUCACAAGUUCAAAGCCAGCCUCAGCAAAAGCAAGGCACUAAGCAACUCAGUGAGACCCUGUCUCUA